rnacentral:misc_RNA from 1 species
GAUGAAGAACGCAGCGAAAUGCGAUACGUAAUGUGAAUUGCAGAAUUCAGUGAAUCAUCGAAUCUUUGAACGCAUAUUGCGCUCUCUGGUAUUCCGGAGAGCAUGCUUGUUUGAGUAUCAGUAAACACCUCAACUUCCAUAUCUUUUUUGAAAUGGGAGUUGGACUUGAGUGAUCCCAACGCUUUUCCUCACCGAAAAGUGGCGGGUUACUUGAAAUGCAGGUGCAGCUGGACUUUUCUCUGAGCUAUAAGCAUAUCUAUUUAGUCUGCCUAAAAAACAGAUUAUUACCUUUGCUGCAGCUAACAUAAAGGAGAUUAGUUCUUGUGCUGACUGAUGCAGGAUUCACAAAGACAGGCUUCGGCCGACUUUGUAAACUCGAUCUCAAAUCAAGUAAGACUACCCGCUGAACUUAAGCAUAUCAAAAGCGGAGA